GCAGUCGAGCGACAGAUAGGAGCUUGCUCCUUUGACGUUAGCGGCGGACGGGUGAGUAACACGUGGGUAACCUACCUAUAAGACUGGAAUAACUCCGGGAAACCGGGGCUAAUGCCGGAUAACAUUUAGAACCGCAUGGUUCUAAAGUGAAAGAUGGUUUUGCUAUCACUUAUAGAUGGACCCGCGCCGUAUUAGCUAGUUGGUAAGGUAAUGGCUUACCAAGGCAACGAUACGUAGCCGACCUGAGAGGGUGAUCGGCCACACUGGAACUGAGACACGGUCCAGACUCCUACGGGAGGCAGCAGUAGGGAAUCUUCCGCAAUGGGCGAAAGCCUGACGGAGCAACGCCGCGUGAGUGAUGAAGGGUUUCGGCUCGUAAAACUCUGUUAUUAGGGAAGAACAAACGUGUAAGUAACUGUGCACGUCUUGACGGUACCUAAUCAGAAAGCCACGGCUAACUACGUGCCAGCAGCCGCGGUAAUACGUAGGUGGCAAGCGUUAUCCGGAAUUAUUGGGCGUAAAGCGCGCGUAGGCGGUUUCUUAAGUCUGAUGUGAAAGCCCACGGCUCAACCGUGGAGGGUCAUUGGAAACUGGGAGACUUGAGUGCAGAAGAGGAAAGUGGAAU
rnacentral:rRNA from 1 species